UAACGCGUGGGCAACCUGCCCUGCACAGGGGGACAACAGCCGGAAACGGCUGCUAAUACCGCAUAAGCGCACAGCUUCGCAUGGAGCAGUGUGAAAAGCUGCGGCGGUGCAGGAUGGGCCCGCGUCUGAUUAGCUGGUUGGCGGGGCAACGGCCCACCAAGGCGACGAUCAGUAGCCGGCCUGAGAGGGUGGACGGCCACAUUGGGACUGAGACACGGCCCAGACUCCUACGGGAGGCAGCAG
rnacentral:rRNA from 1 species